UGGCCUUGACAUAGUAGAGACUUUCCAGAGAUGGAUUGGUGCCUUCGGGAAUCUACAUACAGGUGCUGCAUGGCUGUCGUCAGCUCGUGUCGUGAGAUGUUGGGUUAAGUCCCGCAACGAGCGCAACCCUUUUCCUUACUUGCCAGCAUUUCGGAUGGGAACUUUAAGGAUACUGCCAGUGACAAACUGGAGGAAGGCGGGGACGACGUCAAGUCAUCAUGGCCCUUACGGCCAGGGG
rnacentral:rRNA from 1 species